UCCGUCUAGUGUCUAGUGGUUAGGCCACAUUGCUCUCACCACUGCACCCUGGGUUCGAUUCCCGGACAGGGAA
rnacentral:tRNA from 1 species